GUGUCAGCCGCCGCGGUAAUACGUAGGGGGCAAGCGUUGUCCGGAAUCAUUGGGCGUAAAGCGCGUGUAGGCGGCUGACUAAGUCCGCUCUGAAAGCCCGGGGCUCAACCCCGGGAGGCGGGUGGAUACUGGUCAGCUCGAGUCCGGAAGAGGAGUGUGGAAUUCCUGGUGUAGCGGUGAAAUGCGCAGAUAUCAGGAGGAACACCAAUGGCGAAGGCAGCACUCUGGGACGGUACUGACGCUGAGACGCGAAAGCGUGGGGAGCAAACAGGAUUAGAAACCCCUGUAGUCC
rnacentral:rRNA from 1 species